UAUGGAUGUCGCACUGUUGGCCAUCCCGAGGCUCCUCAAGUUGGAUAAGAUCGACCCCGAGCCCCCGGAUCAAACCCUAGCCCCGAGAUUCCCCUCUCACACUCACGCUUCUCCUAUGAACCUCGUGUCCAAGCUGUCGUCGACGCGCCGUCACCGUCCCCGUGUCUACUGGCCUCCCCGGCGACCGGGAGUUCGUCCAGGGACUUCCUCGUCAUCGACUCCAUCAUCCCCGUGAAUCCGUUCAACCAGAGCCGCACCGUACGGAUGGAUCGAGCCGUCUUCCCCGGCACGGCCGCCGCCGUUCGUCGUCAGAUUUGUCGCCUCCUGAGCUCCCCUGACCUCCUAACCUCGUCCAUGAGCAUCACGGUGAGGCCCUCGUCCGAUUCCCCUACUUUUCCCCUCGACCCGCCGCCAUAGCCAUCACCUUGAGUUUGCCUUGGUCCGUACCGAAGCCAUGGCCGCGCUCAUCACGAGCUCCCACCCCCCCGACCGUGCCUCGCCACUGGACGUGGCCAAGCCACGCUAGUCCGUGCCCCGCCGUGCGCGUCGCUCCCUAGCGGUGCCCAGGUGCGCCAUCGCAGCCGCCCUCGGCCCUGCAGUUGCUCUGCUGCUGCUGUCGUGAACGUGUUGCUCCUGCCGCCCACUCUUGCCCAUGGCCACGCCCGCUUGCUCCUCGCGCGCGGACGUCUGCCCGGGUCGUGUCCCCUGCCCUGCUAGCUACUGCACUGCUCUUUGUGCUGCUGUCGCCGCCGACUGCGGCCUUGCUUCCUACCGCGCUGCUGAGCUGCUCCAAACGCUGCUGCUGCCUCAUACUGCUAUCACUGAUUGCUACUGGUGCUUGCUGAGCCACUGUGCACUCCCAUUCAUGCAUGCCCAGCCAUGCAUCGCUGGCUACCUACUGCCGGACGGGGCUUGCCUGCUCUCGUCGCCUGCUCCCAUCCCUGCUCCCCUUCGCUAAUUCUUCAUCUAACGGCAGGCGCUAUUUUCCUUCCCCGUGCGUCUUUUCUGGCAAAAAAGAAAUCACGAAGCUCCUGUAUUUCCGUUUGCCUGAAUACGUAUUCACUCCUCUACCUCUUUCCCUGCCGACAGUCGACCGUGGGGAGUGGAGGCAUCGAGUGGAUCGGUUACCUCCCCAAGGCGUUGUCGCGGCUUCCGGCGGGACGUCCGUCGGCGUCCACUGCCUUGUCUCACCGUAGUCCACAGUUAUGGCGCCGCGCUCGUCCCAGAUUUCGGCUUCUCCCGCCGCAAGACCGGCUCCUGCUCUUGAUUCGUCCUCGUGCAAGGGCUAGGUCAUGGAAUUGCCUGUGAUGCGGGCAGCCAUGGUGGAGCUCGGGUCGGGAUAGUGGAGGUGGUGGUGGCUGUUGUGCCUCCACUGAAGACCACGGGCGAUGGCAGGGCAGAGGCCGUGGCGAACGACGAGGGCGGCCACCAUCCAGCGGGUCUUCGUGGGCCCGACACCGGCCAUGCGGCUGCCGACCUAGCCUACUAGCGCCAUGGAUGAUGCCAGAAAGACGGUUCAACUAAGUGAACAAACUACUCCUUAGAUCGAUGCAUGCAAAGUCAUUGGUUUGGCUCAUCCUCAUCCAGGUGACAAUGGUGCUCCAUUACCAUAGUGAUCGACUAAUGGUCUGUUUGUCAGGUUAGACAAACUAAUCUAUGAUGUUGGUAAUAGUACAGUUUGUACCUGAUGCUAACCAAGCCUAUUAAUACAAGACAGAUAAGACUAUUUUUAUAUUUAUCACAUUCACAAAUUGCUUAUUCAGUCAAUUGCUGAUUGAUAUAGGUAGUCUCCUUCAAUCCAUGGUCGUAUACUCAUAGGUUCUAAUAGAAUUGCACAGAAGUACAUGAAAUAAAAAUCUAUAACAUUGAUUAAGCUGGCUUUUGUUGUUGGGAGAAUUGUAGAUUUUGUCUUGGGAUCAUCGUCGGGGUUGAGGUACCAACGAUAGGAUUUUGUUGCUGGAGAAAUGACAGAUUCUGUCCGGGCAUCAUCAUAGGGGUAGAAGUACCACUGGUAGGAGUCUGCUGUUGAAAGAAUGAUAGAUUCUGUCCGGGCAUCAUCAUAGGGGUAGAAGUACCACUGGUAGGAGUCUGCUGUUGAAAGAAUGAUAGAUUCUUUUCGGGCAUCAUCGUAGGGGUAGAAGUACCACUGGUAGGAGUCUGCUGUUGGAAGAAUGGUAGAUUCUGUCCUGCCAUUAUCAUAGGGGUAGAAGUACCACUGGUAGGAGUCUGUUGUUGGAAGAAUAAUAUAUUUUGUCCUGGCAUCAUUGUAGGGGUCGACAGACCAAUGGAUUGUUGCAGACUUGAGUUGUAAUGUGCUAAAUAGGGGUAAGCAUGACUUAGCGGAGCUCCCAGUUGAACCUAUGCAGAUAAAUAGCAAAGCUUAGGUCACAGGUGAUUGAUAAUGAGAAAUAGUUUAAUAAUUAAACUUCUUAUACCAUUUGGGUUGGAUUGUACUGUGGUAAAUACACAGGCAUUUGGUUUGUCAAAGGCAUUUCAGGUCCUUCUUGUAAAGAAUUGACUGUCUUCUUUU